rnacentral:rRNA from 1 species
GAUGAACGCUGGCGGCGUGCUUAACACAUGCAAGUCGAACGGUGAACACGGAGCUUGCUCUGUGGGAUCAGUGGCGAACGGGUGAGUAACACGUGAGCAACCUGCCCCUGACUCUGGGAUAAGCGCUGGAAACGGCGUCUAAUACUGGAUAUGUGACGUGACCGCAUGGUCUGCGUUUGGAAAGAUUUUUCGGUUGGGGAUGGGCUCGCGGCCUAUCAGCUUGUUGGUGAGGUAAUGGCUCACCAAGGCGUCGACGGGUAGCCGGCCUGAGAGGGUGACCGGGCACGCGGGGAGCAGAAAACGGCCCCGGCCCCGUCCGGGAGGAAGGGGGGGGGAAUGUUGAAAGAGGGGCGAAGGCCUGAGGCAGCACCGCCGGGGGGGGGAGGCCGGCCUGCGGUUGUAAAACCUGUUUAGGCAGGGAAGAAGGAAAGGUGGCGGUCCCUGAAAAAAAAGCCCCGUCAAACUACGGG